rnacentral:rRNA from 1 species
UUUAAUUAGAGUUUGAUCCUAGCUCAGGAUGAACGCUGGCGGCGUGGAUAAGGCAUGCAAGUCGAACGGACUUUUUAUGUACAGAGAUGAGAUUAUAUCAAGUUGAAGUUUUUAAAAAGUUAGUGGCGAACGAGGUA